UGGGGAAUAUUGCACAAUGGAGGGAACUCUGAUGCAGCGACGCUGCGUGAACGAAGAAGGCUUUCGAGUCGUAAAGUUCUUCUAUAUGGGAAGAUAAUGACGGUACCAUAAGAAAAAGCCCCGGCUAACUACGUGCCAGCAGCCGCGGUAAUACGUAGGGGGCUAGCGUUGUCCGGAAUCACUGGGCGUAAAGGGUUCGCAGGCGGAAAUGCAAGUCAGGUGUAAAAGGCAGUAGCUUAACUACUGUAAGCAUUUGAAACUGCAUAUCUUGAGAAGAGUAGAGGUAAGUGGAAUUUUUAGUGUAGCGGUGAAAUGCGUAGAUAUUAAAAAGAAUACCGGUGGCGAAGGCGACUUACUGGGCUCAUUCUGACGCUGAGGAACGAAAGCGUGGGUAGCAAACAGG
rnacentral:rRNA from 1 species